UGGGGAAUAUUGCACAAUGGGGGAAACCCUGAUGCGGCAACGCCGCGUGAAGGAAGACGGUCUUCGGAUUGUAAACUUUUGUUCUUGGUGAAGAAAACUGACGGUAGCCAAGGAGGAAGCCACGGCUAACUACGUGCCAGCAGCCGCGGUAAUACGUAGGUGGCAAGCGUUGUCCGGAAUUACUGGGUGUAAAGGGAGCGUAGGCGGGCAGGCAAGUCAGGCGUGAAAGAUAUCGGCUCAACCGGUAGCUGCGCUUGAAACUGCAGGUCUUGAGUGAAGUAGAGGUUGGCGGAAUUCCUAGUGUAGCGGUGAAAUGCGUAGAUAUUAGGAGGAACACCAGUGGCGAAGGCGGCCAACUGGGCUUUUACUGACGCUGAGGCUCGAAAGUGUGGGGAGCAAACAGGAUUAGAUACCCUGGUAGU
rnacentral:rRNA from 1 species